rnacentral:rRNA from 1 species
AAACUAACAAGGAUUCCCCUAGUAACGGCGAGUGAAGCGGGAUGAGCUCAAAUUUGAAAUCUCGCGGGGAUCCCCCGUGCGAAUUGUAGUUUAGAGAAGCGUUUUCGCUGACAGGCGUGGGGUAUAAGUUCUGUGGAAUAGGACAUCAUAGAGGGUGAGAAUCCCGUCCAUGGCCCUGCGUCUGCUGGUGUGUGAUACGUCUUCCAAGAGUCAGGUAGUUUGGGAUUGCUGCCUAAAACGGGUGGUAAAUACCAUCUAAAGCUAAAUAUAGGCGAGAGACCGAUAGCGAACAAGUACCGUGAGGGAAAGAUGAAAAGAACUUUGAAAAGAGAGUUAAACAGUAAGUGAAAUUGCCAAAAGGGAAACGCUUGGCACCAGUAUUGCGUUCCGGCAGGGUAGUCGGGUUGGCCUGUCAAAGGGACCCCCUGAUGCUCCCUGCCGGGUUUGCAAGUCAACAUCAGUUUGGAUCCGGGAAGAAAGCCACGGGAAUGUAGCUCCCCCCGGGGAGUGUUAUAGCCCGCGGUGCCGCCUGUGAUGCCAGACUGAGGUCUGCGAGAGUCCAUCAAAUGUCGGCAGCCCGUUGGCGGUCGGGGGGUGCGAUAGCUUGCUAAUGCAUCUUCCUAUCGCUGCGGCUCUGCUGGCAUGGGGGCCUUCUCUAGGAUGUUGACGAAAUGGUUCCAAACGAC